GGCUGGUCCGAUGGUAGUGGGUUAUCAGAACUUAUUAACAUUAGUGUCACUAAAGUUGGUAUACAACCCCCCACUGCUGAAUUUGACUGGCUUAAA
ensembl:Y_RNA Y_RNA Y RNA